CUAAUACAUUCGGUGCUUGGCCCACUACCAACGGUAACUUCAGCAAUCCGGACAGGUGCCCAUCAAUGUGCCCCCGAAGGACAUAGUCAUUCCGAUGCCUCCGCUUUCUCAGACCAUUCCGGAUCUUCCGCCAGGGGCCAGGGGAAUAAACCAAAUAUAUGGAGCUGACAAGACUUUCGAAUUGAUUGUGUCGGAGAAUCAGUUCGGCCAGUUUUGCACCGUCGGUACAGUGAUCGGUUCCGAUCCGCGCUACAAGAUGGUUUAGCCCAGUAGGGCGCCCUGCUCUAUGGAGAAGCUGGGCUUGCCGACGGCGAUUUUUCCGGCGAAAGGGAUGCCAAUUUCAAGAAGCUGGAGAAACACGGCGUGAUUUGUGAUUACCACAGCCCGCGGGACACAUUUGCCUAUGUGCAAGAGAAAUUAUCGACCACCAAGGGAGUUGAACUAGAACACUGUUCAUCAUUAUGGGACCAUGAAGGACCUUCGUCAGCUUAUUUGGUUCGAAUGGAUCUAAUUCCAGCGACGACAGUGAAAAGGGUCAACGAGUUUGGAUUUACUGAUCGAACUGUACUAGAUCUAAAGUUCAUCCAUCAACGACCUCUUGGGCCAUACUUCCAUGCCGUAUCUAUUAAUCAUGUAAAUAGUUAUAAA